GUAGGUCCCAAGGGUAUGGCUGUUCGCCAUUUAAAGUGGUACGCGAGCUGGGUUUAGAACGUCGUGAGACAGUUCGGUCCCUAUCUGCCGUGGGCGCUGGAGAACUGAGGGGGGCUGCUCCUAGUACGAGAGGACCGGAGUGGACGCAUCACUGGUGUUCGGGUUGUCAUGCCAAUGGCACUGCCCGGUAGCUAAAUGCGGAAGAGAUAAGUGCUGAAAGCAUCUAAGCACGAAACUUGCCCCGAGAUGAGUUCUCCCUGACCCUUUAAGGGUCCUGAAGGAACGUUGAAGACGACGACGUUGAUAGGCCGGGUGUGUAAGCGCAGCGAUGCGUUGAGCUAACCGGUACUAAUGAACCGUGAGGCUUAACCUUACAACGCCGAAGGUGUUU
rnacentral:rRNA from 1 species